GACGAACGCUGGCGGCGUGCUUAACACAUGCAAGUCGAACGGAAAGGCCCUGCUUUUGUGGGGUGCUCGAGUGGCGAACGGGUGAGUAACACGUGAGUAACCUGCCCUUGACUUUGGGAUAACUUCAGGAAACUGGGGCUAAUACCGGAUAGGAGCUCCUGCUGCAUGGUGGGGGUUGGAAAGUUUCGGCGGUUGGGGCUGGACUCGCGGCUUAUCAGCUUGUUGGUGGGGUAGUGGCUUACCAAGGCUUUGACGGGUAGCCGGCCUGGGAGGGUGACCGGCCACAUUGGGACUGAGAUACGGCCCAGAAUCCUACGGGAGGCAGCAGUGGGGAAUAUUGCACAAUGGGCGGAAGCCUGAUGCAGCAACGCCGCGUGCGGGAUGACGGCCUUCGGGUUGUAAACCGCUUUCGCCUGUGACGAAGCGUGAGUGACGGUAAUGGGUAAAGAAGCACCGGCUAACUACGUG
rnacentral:rRNA from 1 species